rnacentral:rRNA from 1 species
UACAGAGGGUGCAAGCGUUAAUCGGAAUUACUGGGCGUAAAGCGUGCGUAGUCGGUUAUCUAAGUCGGGUGUGAAAUCCCCGGGCUCAACCUCGGGAAUUGCAUUCGAUACUGGAUAGCUAGAGUUCGGCAGAGGGAAGCGGAAUUUCGGGUGUAGCGGUGAAAUGCGUAGAUAUCCGAAGGAACAUCAGUGGCGAAGGCGGCUUCCUGGACCAGAACUGACGAUCAGGCACGAAAGCGUGGGGAGCAAACAGG